AGCGAACGCUAGCGGCAGGCCUAACACAUGCAAGUCGAGGGGUAACAUAGGAAAGCUUGCUUUUCUGAUGACGACCGGCGCACGGGUGCGUAACGCGUAUACAACCUACCUUUUAGCGGGGAAUAGCCCAGGGAAACUUGGAUUAAUGCCCCAUAGUAUAUAGACUUCUCCUGAAGUUUAUAUUAAACAUUUAUGGCUAUUAGAUGGGUAUGCGUCCUAUUAGUUAGUUGGUAAGGUAACGGCUUACCAAGGCAGCGAUAGGUAGGGGUCCUGAGAGGGAGAUCCCCACACUGGUACUGAGACACGGACCAGACUCCUACGGGAGGCAGCAGUGAGGAAUAUUGGACAAUGGGCGAGAGCCUGAUCCAGCCAUGCCGCGUGCAGGAAGACUGCCCUAUGGGUUGUAAACUGCUUUUACAGAGGAAGAACCACCCCCACGUGUGGGGGUUUGACGGUACUCUGCGAAUAAGGAUCGGCUAACUCCGUG
rnacentral:rRNA from 1 species